rnacentral:ncRNA from 15 species
GGAAGAGGGGUGCCGCCCGGUAUCGUGCCAUCCCCCCGCUGCCCCGCAGCCGUAAAGGGAACGAACGUCCAACCUGCAUUAGUUUCGCCGGUUUCAGUGCAAGGAUGCUAGCAACGACAGCGCCUUGAAAUGAAAGCGGCCCACAGGUAAAGCCACUGGGAGUAAUCCUGGGAAGGCGGGCAAGUAGGCAGCCCUGAGCCGGAAUAC